UGUGAUCCCAGUGAUAGUUUUACAUGUCUUCUGCAUCUUGAAAGGGAAAAUCACCCAUGAAAUUCGGUUAAUCUUCUCUGUGGCCUUGGAAAAUAAUCAUAUAGGCCUCUCGUAGAAUUUAUUGGGAUACUCAUGAGCUGUUAUGUGAUCCCAGUGGUAGUUUUACAUGUCUUCUGCAUCUUGAAAGGGAAAACAUCCAUAAAAACCCGGUUAAUCUUCUCCGUGCCCUUGGGAAAUAGAGAUAACGGGAACCCGCCGAUACGUUUAAGAAUAUGAAUCAAUCUAGUACACUGCCUACCAGCUACUUCAUCAUCAAAUACCUUAGUUAACGUGGUACAUGAGGAAGGAAAUGACCUUGCAGUAUAUCAGCCUAGUACACUGUCUACCAGCUACUUCAUCAAAUACCUUAGUUAACGUGGUACAUGAGGAAGGAAAUGACCUUGCAGUAUAUCAGCCUAGUACACUGUCUACCAGCUACUUCAUCAAACACCUUAGUUAACGUGGUACAUGAGGAAGGAAAUGAUCUUGCAGUAUAUCAGCCUAGUACACUGCCUACCAGGUACUUCAUCAAACACCUUAGUUAACGUGGCACAAGAGGAAGGAAAUGAUCUUGCAGUAUAUCAGCCUAGUACACUGUCUACCAGCUACUUCAUCAAACACCUUAGUUAACGUGGUACAAGAGGAAGGAAAUGAUCUUGCAGUAUAUCAGCCUAGUACACUGUCUACCAGCUACUUCAUCAUCAAAUACCUUAGUUAACGUGGCACAUGAGGAAGGAAAUGAUCUUGCAGUAUAUCAGCCUAGUACACUGUCUACCAGCUACUUCAUCAAAUACCUUAGUUAACGUGGUACAUGAGGAAGGAAAGGAUCUUGCAGUAUAUCAGCCUAGUACACUGUCUACCAGCUACUUCAUCAAACACCUUAGUUAACGUGGUACAUGAGGAAGGAAAGGAUCUUGCAGUAUAUCAGCCUAGUACACUGUCUACCAGCUACUUCAUCAAAUACCUUAGUUAACGUGGCACAUGAGGAAGGAAAUGACCUUGCAGUAUAUAAAAAUUUAUUAAAAUUACAAAGCAGAAUGACCAACAAAGACAAUAAUAAGAAUCAUGAUGUUGAGGGUGUCUUACUGCUUAUUUGAUAAGCACACGACGAAGUGGACCGUGGAACCCAGCUGACCGAGGCACUGGGCUGGAGAUGACCUGGCCGAGGCUGUGUUUGACCUUUGACCAGUGACCUGCCUUCCUAUGACCAUACUACACACUGGUGAUCUGGCUAAGUAUGACCUUUGACCAGUGACCUUCAUUCCUAUAACCAUACUACACACUGGUGACCUGGCUAAGUAUGAC